ensembl:lncRNA
AUGGGCCAUUGUCAAUAGUAGAACAUAGGGUGGUAUUUCAGACACAUCCAGUGUGUCUCAGUAGUCCAACAGGGUUGUAAUCCUCAUCACGGUGGUCUGGUCCAGUACACUGAUUGUCUCUCUCUGUUAGUCAUUACGCCUGAUACACAGUCACAGCCCCGAUCCACACACCUGAUCUGCCCAGCUUAGUGAUUACAGGAACACUGCCUCAGACAACCCUGGUGAUGCUGCAGUAGAGCACAGGAGUAGGAAGGAUCGGACCAAUAUGCAGCGUGAUCCUCUCAAGCUCUGUCAGGUUGGAUGGGGAGCGUCGCGGCACAGCUAUUUUCAGGUCUCUCCAGUGACGUUCGAUCGGGUUCAAGUCCAGGCUCUGGCUGGGCCACUCAAGGACAUUCAGAGGCUUGUCCC